UGUAAAAAUGAAUGGCCACUUCCAGGUAUGGCUGAGAAGGGUGAAAAUGCAUGCACCCACAGACACACACACACACCGUGGAAAUGAGGAAAAGUUACUUCUCUCUGUUGUAAAUUUAAAUGCAGUCCAGAGUAGUGAAGGCCGUUUGUAAGGUCUGCUGAGCUAAUGGAUUCAUAAUGACUUUUAAAGCUUCACUCGGUACAUCCUAUGUGCCAGACACUGCGAUAGGUUCUGGAGAUAACAACAGUGUCCAAGAAACAACAGUGUCCAAGAAACAGGACUUUCCCUCAAAGAGCUUACUGGGGAAGCCAGCAAGACCAGCAGACAAACACAGCUGCACUGGGGGAGAGCCUGCUGAAGCUGCUUGAAUCUCAACACUGUCAUACCCGCCAUCUCAUUAUCUACAGCCACAUCUAAAACCCACAUGAAAUACCAAGUCACACGCGGCUCUGGGAAAGACAUUUUACAGAGACCAUCUUAUGAGUUUUUAAUCUGCCUCCUGAGAACUUACAAUCUAAGAAAUAGAAAACUGAUUCCAGUAAGCAUGCCCAGAAUAUGCUAGCAGCAAGAUUAAAACAUGAAACUAUGAAUGUUAAGAAGAACAAUUUUUAAAAAAUCAUUGGACAUCAAACCAAAACAAAUCAUGGUGCCUCCACACAAUGGGAUAUUCCUCAGCAGUAGAAAGGAAUGGACUACUGAUCACGCAGUAAUGAUGACGAAUGUCAAUGUAAUUAUGCCAAGUGAAAGAAGCCAGCCAAAAGGUGGAGAAGAUGAGUUAAGGACGUUUCAAGCAGAGUUGCCAGCAUGAGUAAGGUCAUGGAAAUUGUGACGGUGACCAUGACCUUUGGAAGUAAUGCAAAGUCCCGUGUGCCUGGAACAUAGAUAGAGAGGGAUGCAGGAGAGAGAGGUGACAGGAAGUGCGACAAUGAGCAUUUGUUGGGAAGAGGCUAUAAAGUUCUUUAACUGCUGUGCUGCUUGAAGAUCUCUCUCCUACCACUUCUGGUGACCUGCUUUGCCUUUCCAAGUUGCCUCAAUUUCCUCUUAACUAUUCCUGGCUUCUCAAGAACUCUCUAUAGCAGAUGAUGAUCCUCCUGUCUCCUGCUCAGCUGCCAAGGAGUUAGGCUCCAGAUUCAGUAUCUGACUCAAUUAAUUUUCAGAAGAGAAAGGCAAAGUGAAUUAAAGUAACAAACCCUACCUGCUGUCACUUAAACGAGGAGAUGUAUUACUUUUUACUACAAUGAUAU
rnacentral:lncRNA from 1 species